GAAAAGAAUGAAAGUCAUAAAUUGAUUUUAUUUAAGAACUGAUACAGUGAGUUUUUAGUUUCUAAUUUUUGAUCUCAACACAAGUAACCUUGAAAGUUCACGAAGUUACUUACUUGUGAAAAUUAUGUUUCAAAAUGCUAUGCAAAUAGUGUGAAAAGAGAGAUAGAGACGUGAUUGUAGACAAACCCUACAACAAAUCGACGAUUUUGUUUACAAACAUACGCAAUGUUUCCAUCUCAGAAUGUCGAAUUUUUCACAGCUGAAAGAAUACCGACACAAGAGUUUGCGGUGGCAGAUUUCCAAGUCAGCUGACAUUCCUUAAGGCUUUCUGGUAUGGUGUUUGACAUUACCUCCGCCAGUCAGUAUGCAUCAAGAAUGUGGUGGAGUUCCUCAACAUCUGACCC
rnacentral:lncRNA from 1 species